rnacentral:rRNA from 1 species
GCGACCCCAGGAUGGGCGAGGCCACCCGCUGAGUUUAAGCAUAUCAAUAAGCGGAGGAGAAGAAACUUACGAGGAUUCCCC